rnacentral:ncRNA from 1 species
UUAAAAUUUAAUUUUUGUUUAAAAAUUAAUUAAAUUUUAUUAUUAAUAUAUAAUAAUUUAUUAAAAAAUAUAAAAAUUAAAGUAAUAUUUAAAUUUUAUAAAAUUAAUGAAAGUUAGAAUAAGAUAAAUAUAUUAAAAAUAGGAAAAUUUAGUGCCAGCAUCAGCGGUUAGACUAAGUAUUUAAGUUAAUUAAGAAAUUUUAUGUAAAAUAAUAAAAAUUAUAAAUUAUUUAAGUUUAAUUAAUAAUUUAUUAUUUGGUGAAAUAUAAUAAAUUUAAUAUUUAAAUUUUUGAAAUUUUAAAUGUUAAAAAGUUUAUGUAAUAAACUAGGAUUAGAUACCCUAUUAUAAUAAAUGAAAAAAAUAAAAAGAGAUUAAAUGUUAUAUCAUUAAAUUUAAAAGAUUUGGCGGUAUUUAAAAUUUAGAGGAAUCUGUAUGGUAAUUGAUAAUCCACGAUAAGAUAUACUUAAUAUUAAAUUUAUGUAUUGCUGUUUUUAGUAUCUAAUUAAGUUAGAUUACAUAUAAUUUAUUAUUGAUAUUAUGUAAAAUAAUUCAAGUCAAAAUAUAGUUUUGUUAAGAUUAGUAUGGAUUACAAUUAAUUCUAUUAUUUGGAGUAAAAAAUUUAAUUUUUUUAUGAAAUUGGAUUUAAAAGUAAAUUUAAUAAAUAUAUUAAAUUGAAUAAUAAAUUAAAUAUGUACAAAUUGCCCGUCACUUUCAAUAAAAUGGAAUAAGUCGUAACAAAGUUUAGGUACCGGAAGGUGUUUAUUGAUAAUA